CCUACGGGAGGCAGCAGUGAGGAAUAUUGGUCAAUGGGCGCGAGCCUGAACCAGCCAAGUCGCGUGAAGGAAGACGGUCCUAUGGAUUGUAAACCUCUUUUGUCGGGGAGUAAAAGGCGCCACGCGUGGCGUUCCGAGAGUACCCGAUGAAAAAGCAUCGGCUAACUCCGUGCCAGCAGCCGCGGUAAUACGGAGGAUGCGAGCGUUAUCCGGUUUUAUUGGGUUUAAAGGGGGCGCAGGGGGAUGAUAAAGUCAGUGGUAAAAUUGAGAGGCUCAACCUCUUCUUGCCGUUGAUACUGGUUGUCUUGAGUGAGCGAGAGGUAUGCGGAAUUCGUGGUGUAGCGGUGAAAUGCAUAGAUAUCACGCAGAACUCCGAUUGCGAAGGCAGCAUACCGGCGCUCAACUGACGCUCAUGCACGAAAGUGUGGGUAUCGAACAGGAUUAGAUACCCUUGUAGUC
rnacentral:rRNA from 1 species